GAUGAACGCUAGCGAUAGGCCUAACACAUGCAAGUCGAGGGGCAUCACAUGAGGCAGCAAUGCCGAUGGUGGCGACCGGCGCACGGGUGAGUAACACGUAUGCAACCUGCCUUCAACAAGGGGAUAACCCGUUGAAAAACGGACUAAUACCCUAUAAUACAGGGGUCCCGCAUGGGGAUAUUUGUUAAAGAUUGAUCGGUUGAAGAUGGGCAUGCGUUCCAUUAGCUGGUUGGUGAGGUAACGGCUCACCAAGGCAACGAUGGAUAGGGGAACUGAGAGGUUUAUCCCCCACACUGGUACUGAGACACGGACCAGACUCCUACGGGAGGCAGCAGUGAGGAAUAUUGGUCAAUGGACGCAAGUCUGAACCAGCCACGUCGCGUGAAGGAAGACGGCCCUACGGGUUGUAAACUUCUUUUAUACGGGAAUAAAGUGCCCCACGCGUGGGGUUUUGCAUGUACCGUAUGAAUAAGGAUCGGCUAACUCCGUGCCAGCAGCCG
rnacentral:rRNA from 1 species